rnacentral:rRNA from 1 species
GGGUUGUGAGGUUAAGCGACUAAGCGUACACGGUGGAUGCCCUGGCAGUCAGAGGCGAUGAAGGACGUGCUAAUCUGCGAAAAGCGUCGGUAAGGUGAUAUGAACCGUUACAGCCGGCGAUGUCCGAAUGGGGAAACCCAGUGCAAUUCGUUGCACUAUCGUUAACUGAAUACAUAGGUUAACGAGGCGAACCGGGGGAACUGAAACAUCUAAGUACCCCGAGGAAAAGAAAUCAACCGAGAUUCCCCCAGUAGCGGCGAGCGAACGGGGAGCAGCCCAGAGUCUGAAUCAGCUUGUGUGUUAGUGGAACGGUCUGGAAAGUCCGACGGUACAGGGUGAUAGUCCCGUACACCAAAAUGCACAGGCUGUGAACUCGAAGAGUAGGGCGGGACACGUGGUAUCCUGUCUGAAUAUGGGGGGACCAUCCUCCAAGGCUAAAUACUCCUGACUGACCGAUAGUGAACCAGUACCGUGAGGGAAAGGCGAAAAGAACCCCGGCGAGGGGAGUGAAAAAGAACCUGAAACCGUGUACGUACAAGCAGUGGGAGCACCCUUUAGGGUGUGACUGCGUACCUUUUGUAUAAUGGGUCAGCGACUUAUAUUCUGUAGCAAGGUUAACCGUAUAGGGGAGCCGCAGGGAAACCGAGUCUUAACUGGGCGUUAAGUUGCAGGGUAUAGACCCGAAACCCGGUGAUCUAGCCAUGGGCAGGUUGAAGGUUGGGUAACACUAACUGGAGGACCGAACCGACUAAUGUUGAAAAAUUAGCGGAUGACUUGUGGCUGGGGGUGAAAGGCCAAUCAAACCGGGAGAUAGCUGGUUCUCCCCGAAAGCUAUUUAGGUAGCGCCUCGUGAAUUCAUCUUCGGGGGUAGAGCACUGUUUCGGCUAGGGGGUCAUCCCGACUUACCAACCCGAUGCAAACUACGAAUACCGAAGAAUGUUAUCACGGGAGACACACGGCGGGUGCUAACGUCCGUCGUGAAGAGGGAAACAACCCAGACCGCCAGCUAAGGUCCCAAAGUCAUGGUUAAGUGGGAAACGAUGUGGGAAGGCACAGACAGCCAGGAUGUUGGCUUAGAAGCAGCCAUCAUUUAAAGAAAGCGUAAUAGCUCACUGGUCGAGUCGGCCUGCGCGGAAGAUGUAACGGGGCUAAACCAUGCACCGAAGCUGCGGCAGCGACACUAUGUGUUGUUGGGUAGGGGAGCGUUCUGUAAGCCUGCGAAGGUGGCCUGUGAGGGCUGCUGGAGGUAUCAGAAGUGCGAAUGCUGACAUAAGUAACGAUAAAGCGGGUGAAAAGCCCGCUCGCCGGAAGACCAAGGGUUCCUGUCCAACGUUAAUCGGGGCAGGGUGAGUCGACCCCUAAGGCGAGGCCGAAAGGCGUAGUCGAUGGGAAACAGGUUAAUAUUCCUGUACUUGGUGUUACUGCGAAGGGGGGACGGAGAAGGCUAUGUUAGCCGGGCGACGGUUGUCCCGGUUUAAGCAUGUAGGCGGAGGUUCCAGGUAAAUCCGGUACCUUUUAACGCUGAGAUGUGAUGACGAGGCACUACGGUGCUGAAGUAACAAAUGCCCUGCUUCCAGGAAAAGCCUCUAAGCAUCAGGUAACAUCAAAUCGUACCCCAAACCGACACAGGUGGUCAGGUAGAGAAUACCAAGGCGCUUGAGAGAACUCGGGUGAAGGAACUAGGCAAAAUGGUGCCGUAACUUCGGGAGAAGGCACGCUGGUGUGUAGGUGAAGUCCCUGCGGAUGGAGCUGAGACCAGUCGAAGAUACCAGCUGGCUGCAACUGUUUAUUAAAAACACAGCACUGUGCAAACACGAAAGUGGACGUAUACGGUGUGACGCCUGCCCGGUGCCGGAAGGUUAAUUGAUGGGGUUAUCCGUAAGGAGAAGCUCUUGAUCGAAGCCCCGGUAAACGGCGGCCGUAACUAUAACGGUCCUAAGGUAGCGAAAUUCCUUGUCGGGUAAGUUCCGACCUGCACGAAUGGCGUAAUGAUGGCCAGGCUGUCUCCACCCGAGACUCAGUGAAAUUGAACUCGCUGUGAAGAUGCAGUGUACCCGCGGCAAGACGGAAAGACCCCGUGAACCUUUACUAUAGCUUGACACUGAACAUUGAGCCUUGAUGUGUAG